UCCAGAAGAGGACUUUAAGAAGGCUUUUAGGAUGAGUAGAGCAACCUUUCAUAUGAUUUGCGAGGAGCUCGAAUCAGUUGUGACGAAAAAGGACACAAUGCUGCGGUUGGCAAUCCCGGUUCGCCAGCGUGUGGCUGCGUGUAUAUGGAGAUUGGCCACUGGCGAGGCUCUUCGUGAAGUUUCGAAACGUUUUGGUCUUGGAAUUUCUACCUGUCACAAGUUGGUUCUUGAGGUUUGUUCUGCAAUAAGUAGCGUGCUAAUGCCGAAGUUCUUGCAGUGGCCUGAUGAGAAUAGAAUGGAGGAGAUUAAAAGGGCGUUUGAAUUUGUUUCGGGGAUACCAAAUGUGGGUGGUGCAUUGUACACGACACAUGUUCCGAUCAUUGCUCCUAAGGUUAACGUGGCAGCUUAUUUUAACAAGAGGC
rnacentral:lncRNA from 1 species